rnacentral:tRNA from 1 species
GAGGGCUUAGCUCAGUGGUAGAGCAUGUGCUUAGCAUGCACGAGGUCCUGGGUUUAAUUCCCAGUACUUCCA